rnacentral:rRNA from 1 species
ACGGGAGGCAGCAGUGGGGAAUAUUGGACAAUGGGGGCAACCCUGAUCCAGCGACGCCGCGUGUGUGAAGAAGGCCUGCGGGUUGUAAAGCACUUUUAGUGGGGAUGAAAAGCACAUUGCUAAUACCAGUGUGUCUUGACCUAACCCAAAGAAAAAGCACCGGCUAACUCUGUGCCAGCAGCCGCGGUAAUACAGAGGGUGCGAGCGUUAAUCGGAAUUACUGGGCGUAAAGCGUGCGUAGACGGUUAUUUAAGUCGGGUGUGAAAGCCCCGGGCUCAACCUGGGAAUUGCAUUCGAGACUGAAUAGCUAGGGUACGGUAGAGGGAAGUGGAAUUUCCGGUGUAGCGGUGAAAUGCGUAGAUAUCGGAAGGAACAUCAGUGGCGAAAGCGACUUCCUGGACCAGUACCGACGUUCAGGCACGAAAGCGUGGGGAGCAAACAGGAUUAGAUACCCUGGUA